AACUGGGUAACAGAACCAGUCAUUAUAGCAGGGUAACAGAACCAGUCAUUAUAGCAGGGUAAGGUGGUAACAGGGUAACAGAACCAGUCAUUAUAGCAGGGUAGGGUGGUAACAGGGUAACAGAACCAGUCAUUAUAGCAGGGUAGGGUGGUAACAGGGUAACAGAACCAGUCAUUAUAGCAGGGUAGGGUGGUAACAGGGUAACAGAACCAGUCAUUAUAGCAGGGUAGGGUGGUAACAGGGUAACAGAACCAGUCAUUAUAGCAGGAUGCAGUCAGUCAGUCAGUCAGUCAGUCACCCACAAGGCCAUACAGGGAGAACACAUACACACUCCACACACACACUCCACACACACACACACAUACUCUCCGCACACGUACACACACUCUGACAAACUGGUUGUGGUGUUUUUGGUUUCCACAGAAACCCCAGGUGAUCUGGCACGACAGGUACAGGUACACCUGAUCAUAUUAACAUGACCCUGCCUUGGUCCUGGCAUGUUCAGACCUGCUCCAGGUAUCAUCAGAGCAGCACACACACACACACACACACACACACACAGUCAACACUCCUAGCCAAUCACACACACACACAGUCACCUCCACUCCAGAGCCAAUCAGAGGCCAGGACAACGUAUGAGGCAGAGAGGAUUUAUUUUUUUGUUACAGUACUACAGGUGAACAGGAACUGGUGUGUGUGUGUGUGUGUGUGUGUGUGUGUGUGUGUGUGUGUGUGUGUGUGUGUGUGUGUGUGUGUGUGUGUGUGUGUGUGUGUGUGUGUGUGUGUGUGUGUGUGUGUGUGUGUAGUGUGUGUGUGUG